rnacentral:rRNA from 1 species
UACGAAGGGACCUAGCGUAGUUCGGAAUUACUGGGCUUAAAGAGUUCGUAGGUGGUUGAAAAAGUUGGUGGUGAAAUCCUAGAGCUUAACUCUGGAACUGCCAUCAAAACUUUUCAGCUAGAGUAUGAUAGAGGAAAGCAGAAUUUCUAGUGUAGAGGUGAAAUUCGUAGAUAUUAGAAAGAAUACCAAUUGCGAAGGCAGCUUUCUGGAUCAUUACUGACACUGAGGAACGAAAGCAUGGGUAGCGAAGAGGAUUAGAUACCCUCGUAGUCCAUGCCGUAAACGAUGUGUGUUAGACGUUGGAAAUUUAUUUUCAGUGUCGCAGCGAAAGCGAUAAACACACCGCCUGGGGAGUACGACCGCAAGGUUAAAACUCAAAUGAAUUGACGGGGACCCGCACAAGUAGUGGAGCAUGUGGUUUAAUUCGAAGAUACGCGCAGAACCUUACCAACACUUGACAUGUUCGUCGCGACUCUAAGAGAUUAGAGUUUUCGGUUCGGCCGGACGAAGCACAGGUGCUGCAUGGCUGUCGUCAGCUCGUGUCGUGAGAUGUUGGGUUAAGUCCCGCAACGAGCGCAACCCUCACUUUUAGUUGCCAUCAUUAAGUUGGGCACUCUGAAAGAACUGCCAGUGAUAAGCUGGAGGAAGGUGGGGAUGACGUCAAGUCCUCAUGGCCCUUACGUGUUGGGCUACACACGUGCUACAAUGGUAUCUACAACAGGAAGCAAGACUGCGAAGUUAAGCAAAUCCCUAAAAGAUACCUCAGUUCGGAUUGCACUCUGCAACUCGAGUGCAUGAAGCUGGAAUUACUAGUAAUCGUGGAUCAGCGUGCCACGGUGAAUGCGUUCCCGGGUAU